CUACGGGUCGCUCCAGUGGGGAAUAUUGCACAAUGGGCGAAAGCCUGAUGCAGCAACGCCGCGUGAGGGACGACGGCCUUCGGGUUGUAAACCUCUUUUAGCAGGGAAGAAGCGAAAGUGACGGUACCUGCAGAAAAAGCACCGGCUAACUACGUGCCAGCAGCCGCGGUAAUACGUAGGGUGCAAGCGUUGUCCGGAAUUAUUGGGCGUAAAGAGCUCGUAGGCGGUUUGUCGCGUCUGCUGUGAAAAUCCGAGGCUCAACCUCGGACCUGCAGGGGGUACGGGCAAACUAGAGUGCGGUAGGGGAGAUUGGAAUUCCUGGUGUAGCGGUGGAAUGCGCAGAUAUCAGGAGGAACACCAAUGGCGAAGGCAGAUCUCUGGGCCGUAACUGACGCUGAGGAGCGAAAGCGUGGGGAGCGAACAGGAUUAGAUACCCCUGUAGUC
rnacentral:rRNA from 1 species